AACGAACGCUGGCGGCGCGCCUAAUACAUGCAAGUCGAGCGAGAAGACGUAGCAAUACGUUUGUAAAGCGGCGAACGGGUGAGGAAUACAUGGGCAACCUACCCUCGAGUGGGGAAUAACUAGCCGAAAGGUUAGCUAAUACCGCGUACGCUCCUUGGACUUCGGUUCAGGGAGGAAAGCGAUACCGUGGGUAUCGCGCUCUUGGAUGGGCUCAUGUCCUAUCAGCUUGUUGGUGAGGUAACGGCUCACCAAGGCUUCGACGGGUAGCUGGUCUGAGAGGACGAUCAGCCACACUGGCACUGCGACACGGGCCAGACUCCUACGGGAGGCAGCAGUAAGGAAUAUUGCGCAAUGGGCGAAAGCCUGACGCAGCGACGCCGC
rnacentral:rRNA from 1 species